rnacentral:rRNA from 1 species
CCUACGGGAGGCAGCAGUAAGGAAUAUUGGGCAAUGGACGCAAGUCUGACCCAGCCAUCCCGCGUGCAGGACGAAUGCCCUAUGGGUUGUAAACUGCUUUUGUUUGGGAAGAAAUGUAUUCUUUUAAGAGUAUUUGACGGUACCAGACGAAUAAGCACCGGCUAACUCCGUGCCAGCAGCCGCGGUAAUACGGAGGGUGCAAGCGUUAUCCGGAAUCACUGGGCAUAAAGCGUCUGUAGGUGGUUUGGUAAGUCUGCUGUUAAAGACUGGGGCUCAACCCCAGAAAAGCAGUGGAAACUGCUAGACUUGAGUGUGGUAGAGGUAGAGGGAAUUCCUAGUGUAGCGGUGAAAUGCGUAGAUAUUAGGAAGAACACCAAUGGCGAAGGCACUCUACUGGGCCAUAACUGACACUGAGAGACGACAGCUAGGGGAGCAAAUGGGAUUAGAUACCCCAGUAGUCCUAGCCGUAAACGAUGGAUACUAGAUGUUGCACGUAUUAACCCGUGCAGUAUCGUAGCUAAGGCGUUAAGUAUCCCGCCUGGGAAGUACGCUCGCAAGAGUGAAACUCAAAUGAAUUGACGG